UAACAGUCAGUUCAUGUAAUCUUUUAUGCUUAGUCUUUCUAUUUGAAUUAUUCUUAGUCUUUCUAUUUGUAUAUUCAGUAAAUAAUUUCUUGACAGCAAUUCCAAUAAUACUGAUAAACACAAGGCAGGACCCUGCUAUGCUUAACCUUGAUGGAAAGUCUGCCAGGAUGGUCACCUGAGAAACAAUCAACACGAGGAUUAAGCAAGCUACAUUCAUUCAUUUAUUUAUUCAAGAGAAUGUUUGGUUAUAAGACACUGUGUCAGAAAUGUUAAAUUUGCAUAUCUUAUCUUUUAUAGUGUUCAAUAAAAAA